CCUACGGGAGGCUGCAGUGGGGAAUAUUGGACAAUGGGGGGAACCCUGAUCCAGCGACGCCGCGUGAGUGAAGAAGUAUUUCGGUAUGUAAAGCUCUAUCAGCAGGGAAGAAAAUGACGGUACCUGACUAAGAAGCCCCGGCUAACUACGUGCCAGCAGCCGCGGUAAUACGUAGGGGGCAAGCGUUAUCCGGAUUUACUGGGUGUAAAGGGAGCGUAGACGGCGAUGCAAGCCAGAUGUGAAAGCCCGCGGCUCAACUGCGGUAGUGCAUUUGGAACUGUAUGGCUGGAGUGCAGGAGAGGCAGGCGGAAUUCCUAGUGUAGCGGUGAAAUGCGUAGAUAUUAGGAGGAACACCAGUGGCGAAGGCGGCCUGCUGGACUGUAACUGACGUUGAGGCUCGAAAGCGUGGGGAGCAAACAGGAUUAGAUACCCUAGUAGUC
rnacentral:rRNA from 1 species